AUUCGCCUGCGGGUGCCUUCUAUGAAAUUGGCUCCCCGCUUCAUAGGUCCUUAUCGUAUUCUGCAUAAGGUUAUUCCUGUUUCAUAUGCCUUGGGUCUUCCUAGGAAUCUGCGUAUUCCUAAUGUCUUUUACACCUCGUUGUUGAAGCCUUACGUACACAACCGCUAUACCCGGCAUUCUCUGCCUCCCCCUCCUGUCUCCGUGGAAGGUCAUGAGGAAUUCGAAGUCUCUGCUGUUCUUGACUCUCGUUACCUUAGGGGUCGACUUUAGUACUUGGUGCAUUGGAAGGGUUAUGGGCCUGAGGAACGCAGUUGGAUUUCAGCUGAUGCUGUUCACGCUCCCCGCCUUGUGCGUUCUUACGAUUCUCGUUUUCCUGCCAGGCCUGGCCCUACCCGCCCGGAGGGCGUGUCCUCAGGGGGGUACUGUAGUGUUACUUACCUUAUCCAGGGGCCGGCCGCGGUCCUGCUGCUGCACGAGCCGCUCAUCC